UAACUAAAUAAAAUGCACAAAAUUUAUUUUUGUGGUGGUUCAUCGUCGCAGUGCGUUGUAGGGGCGAUAUUCAACUUCGAUUUUUGACAAUAUGUGUGCGUUCUACGAAGUACAUUAUUGUAGUCAUAUAAAGCUCUACAUGCUUGAUAGUGACGUCAUGACGCGGGGUCCUCAUCCCUGGGCGGCGUUUCGUCGGCGAAAAGCGGGAAAAGUGGUGUACGAGUACAUAAGCUAUACCCUGAUCUUCUUUUGAGUCCUCGAGAUCUCCAAAUCCUUUUAGUUUAAUUGGACGCAAUAUCCAAUUAAGAUGUCAAGUCUUUCUGUGCCCUCUGUAGCUUAGCCUGUUGCAAUCAUUAAUGAAAUUGUUGGAAAUGCUGGGAUCCCAAAAUAACGUUUUUUGGGCUCCCCUCCCCUGCCCCUCCUCCUGGGUAUUCCCCAGUGAUCUCUGCGAGCGUAGUUCGUCUCCUCCAUUUUGGCACGUGUGUAGGAAAAAUGGUGGAAAAUUGAGUUUUUCGUAAUUUCACAGAGUCAGGAGAUGGAAUAUGGAGACGGCUGCCUGUUUGUUGACAACUUCUGAAGAUCAGAUGCCAACUGGGACAAAGUGGACCAAAGCUUCAAGCAGUCAUCUUUAGAAGGGCAGUGUGUCUUAUUUUGCAAUCCAUCUCUUGGAGAAACCAGGUGAACAAAACUCUUGAAUAAGCCAAGUUCUGCCGUGGUUAACUGAAUUCAGCCUUGCAAUGUACAUUGUAUUCUUCAGUGGUUGAUUUGCACAAUGAAUAGAAGAACUCUCAUAUAAAACGUUUUUUAGAAGUACAGUUUUAAGCCCAUCAUGACUGACUGACUAAUUCACUGACUGACUGAAAGGCUGAUCCAUGGAAUAAUGGACUGACUGACUGACUGACUGACUGAUCCACUGACAAAACUGACAGAAUGUAGACUGACUGAUUGAUUGUCUGACUGAUUGAUUGAUUGACGAACUCCCUGACUGCCUCUGACACUGAAAGACUGAUGCAAGGAAUGACAGAUGCACUGACUGACUCAGGGACUGACUGACUGACUGUGAGACUGACACAUGGAAUGAUGGACUGGAUUGAUUGAUUGAAUGACUGCCUGAUUAACAGAUUGAUCAAAUGUCUGAUGGUCUGACUGUCUGACAAACUCACUGACUGGCUGACUGACUGACUCACUGAAAGACUGAUUUAAAAAACGACAGAUUCACUGACUGAUUGACUGACUGACUGACUGACUGGCUGACUCGCUGACUAAC